AAUGUUAGAGACCUUAUAUCUCCACAAUGA
rnacentral:tRNA from 1 species